UCGAACGAACGGACGAGAAGCUUGCUUCUCUGAUGUUAGCGGCGGACGGGUGAGUAACACGUGGAUAACCUACCUAUAAGACUGGGAUAACUUCGGGAAACCGGAGCUAAUACCGGAUAAUAUUUUGAACCGCAUGGUUCAAAAGUGAAAGACGGUCUUGCUGUCACUUAUAGAUGGAUCCGCGCUGCAUUAGCUAGUUGGUAAGGUAACGGCUUACCAAGGCAACGAUGCAUAGCCGACCUGAGAGGGUGAUCGGCCACACUGGAACUGAGACACGGUCCAGACUCCUACGGGAGGCAGCAGUAGGGAAUCUUCCGCAAUGGGCGAAAGCCUGACGGAGCAACGCCGCGUGAGUGAUGAAGGCCUUCGGAUCGUAAAACUCUGUUAUUAGGGAAGAACAUAUGUGUAAGUAACUGUGCACAUCUUGACGGUACCUAAUCAGAAAGCCACGGCUAACUACGUGCCAGCAGCCGCGGUAAUACGUAGGUGGCAAGCGUUAUCCGGAAUUAUUGGGCGUAAAGCGCGCGUAGGCGGUUUUUUAAGUCUGAUGUGAAAGCCCACGGCUCAACCGUGGAGGGUCAUUGGAAACUGGAAAACUUGAGUGCAGAAGAGGAAAGUGGAAUUCCAUGUGUAGCGGUGAAAUGCGCAGAGAUAUGGAGGAACACCAGUGGCGAAGGCGACUUUCUGGUCU
rnacentral:rRNA from 1 species